CAGUCGCCACGGGAAUACGGAGGGUGCAAGCGUUAAUCGGAAUUACUGGGCGUAAAGCGCACGCAGGCGGUCUGACAAGUCAGAUGUGAAAUCCCCGGGCUUAACCUGGGAACUGCAUUUGAAACUGUCAGGCUGGAGUCUUGUAGAGGGGGGUAGAAUUCCAGGUGUAGCGGUGAAAUGCGUAGAGAUCUGGAGGAAUACCGGUGGCGAAGGCGGCCCCCUGGACAAAGACUGACGCUCAGGUGCGAAAGCGUGGGGAGCAAACAGGAUUAGAUACCCGCGAGUCCCUGUCUCUUAUACA
rnacentral:rRNA from 1 species